UACAGAGGUCCCGAGCGUUGUUCGGAUUCAUUGGGCGUAAAGAGCGUGUAGGCGGCCUGAAAGGUCAGCUGUGAAAACUCGAGGCUCAACCUCGAGACGUCGGUUGAAACCAUCUGGCUAGAGUCCGGAAGAGGAGUGUGGAAUUCCCGGUGUAGCGGUGAAAUGCGCAAAUAUCGGGAAGAACACCCGUGGCGAAGGCGGCACUCUGGGACGGUACUGACGCUGAGACGCGAAAGCGUGGGGAGCGAACAGG
rnacentral:rRNA from 1 species